CUUUGGACAAAUAACUGGGAGGACACAUUUUGACCAGCACAAUUCUCAGCCCUGAGAAGGACCCUCACACAGAGGAGUAACAGUAAGGAUGAAAUCACUGUGCCUACUCUUGGGCCUCUUGGCCCUUCAAGCCUGUUUCUCGCCUGCUGAGAGUCAAGGAGAAGAGGGGAGACCACCUGCACCCCCUCCUCCUUCCCCUGAUGACCCAGGGAGUCCUCCACCACCCCCUCCUCCUCCCCCUAAAGGCCCAGGGAGUCCUCCACCACCCC